GCCCCCAUAGCUCAGCGGAUAGAGCACCCGCCUUCUAAGCGGUAGGUCGCAGGUUCGAAUCCUGCUGGGGGCACCC
rnacentral:tRNA from 2 species